CUAGAAAAGAAAAGAAAACGUGGUUGUGCUUCCCUCCAUUUUUUUUUGUAUGUUUGGAAAUGCAAUGAAAGAAAGAGGCAUAAUAU
rnacentral:ribozyme from 1 species